AAUGGUGUCCAUACAGGUAGGAU
rnacentral:piRNA from 2 species